rnacentral:rRNA from 1 species
GUCGAGCGAACGGACGAGAAGCUUGCUUCUCUGAUGUUAGCGGCGGACGGGUGAGUAACACGUGGAUAACCUACCUAUAAGACUGGGAUAACUUCGGGAAACCGGAGCUAAUACCGGAUAAUAUUUUGAACCGCAUGGUUCAAAAGUGAAAGACGGUCUUGCUGUCACUUAUAGAUGGAUCCGCGCUGCAUUAGCUAGUUGGUAAGGUAACGGCUUACCAAGGCAACGAUGCAUAGCCGACCUGAGAGGGUGAUCGGCCACACUGGAACUGAGACACGGUCCAGACUCCUACGGGAGGCAGCAGUAGGGAAUCUUCCGCAAUGGGCGAAAGCCUGACGGAGCAACGCCGCGUGAGUGAUGAAGGUCUUCGGAUCGUAAAACUCUGUUAUUAGGGAAGAACAUAUGUGUAAGUAACUGUGCACAUCUUGACGGUACCUAAUCAGAAAGCCACGGCUAACUACGUGCCAGCAGCCGCGGUAAUACGUAGGUGGCAAGCGUUAUCCGGAAUUAUUGGGCGUAAAGCGCGCGUAGGCGGUUUUUUAAGUCUGAUGUGAAAGCCCACGGCUCAACCGUGGAGGGUCAUUGGAAACUGGAAAACUUGAGUGCAGAAGAGGAAAGUGGAAUUCCAUGUGUAGCGGUGAGAUGCGCAGAGAUAUGGAGGAACACCAGUGGCGAAGGCGACUUUCUGGUCUGUAACUGACGCUGAUGUGCGAAAGC